CCUGGCCUCAUUCGGGAAGUUGAUUUCAAAGGAGACGGAUCGCCAGGAAAUGAUGAUGGAGUUUGUGAAAAUUUAUUAUUACACGGCAAGGUUUGCCCAAGUUUUUGAUGAUGGGUCCUGAAUACAAUGUAUAUGAAGUCUGCAAUGAUGCCAAUUACAAUGGAAAAUUCCUUUCACCUGGGCCUCCAAUCUUCAAGCAAGAAGUGAAAUGAGUCCAUCUCAGGCUGUUGGAAUUUAACCCAGUUCACAUGGUUGGUGUGACGCUUUCACAGAAAAUCGUGUCUUGGCGCAUCUCCAUGAAUCGUGUCCCACGCAUCUCACCGAUCGGAGAUGCGCUAUUACCGAGGGAGUAACAAGAAACCUGGUUGCCUGGGCUCCGAGAAUCACCAGCUUGAUUGACUUUUACAUUAAUAUCGGUUGUUGAAAGUGAUGGAUUUUGAAUAUUGUUGGUUUUGAUUUCUAAAUCCAAUUGUUAUGUCCUUCUUAUGGCCAUUUUCUGUAUGAAUGGUUGUGAUGUGUAUCUGACCCAUUGUGCCUCUCCCGUGCCAGCUGGGGUAAAGUUAAGGUGGCCGGUUUGCUGAUACGCUGACCUGCCAUGCACAUGCCUGCAAGACUGCCGUGCAGCUGCUGCUACCCAUGUUCUGGGGGUAACACUUUUCUUCAUGUCAGUAUGUUAUGAUAUAUGAUCAUACGUCUGCUAUCGUGCUUUUUGUAAUGGAUAUGUUUAAACUCAAAAUAUGGAGAUUUAUUUGGAUUAAGAUAUCACUCGUCCCUGAUCGCUCUUCAUUCUAAUCGCUUGACGUUGCCAUUGCAUGCAACCAUAGCUAUCUAAGGGUCGUUCUGGCUUAGUUCUGUGCGCAAUUUGUCCCUUAGCUUCAUUUUUUUCUGAAUUACUUACAUGCGAGCCAAAUGUUUUACGGAGUCCACGAAUUUUUCUCGAAAAAUUCCCUCAACUUUCACCAUGUCCCGAGAUGGCUUGCCUCGCUUCUCUUUAGCACCCAGCUCCUCGCCCUGUUGGCUGCUGGAGUUGCUUCAUGCCUUGUGCCGUCUUCUGGAUGUAGACUCGAGGUUAUGCUAUGACGCCAGAUAUGCUGUCGUUGUAAGGUGGUAACUUUUAAAGAGGUGAUUUUUUUUGUCGUGAUAAAUGCAUAUUUUAGAAAGUAAUAUUGUUCUUUGUCCCUAUAAGUCAUUAAAGAUCCGAUGGCCUUGUUUGGCCAUGUUGAUUUUGUUAAUUCCUUUGAUAAAAACGUCGUGCAAUUAUAUUUGGCUUUUUCCGCCUCUCGUGUCAAGUAUUUUUUUGUGAGCUUUUUUCAAAAUAUAUGAAAAUUUUCGUAUUCAUCUUGUUGAUUAAAUCCCUAACAGGCGGCAGCUGUGCCAUGGUCAAUUAGAUUUCUGCCCCCUGCGGCGUCCAUCCACACUCCACCUUAAAGCAUAACAUCUCCACCAUUGCUGUGCCAUACCAAGCAAAACGAACUUCCUUCCGCCUAGUCCGAACCAGCAUCUUUUCGAGAAUAUCGAAACAGCCACCGUGAUGGGUUUGCUUAGGAGCCUGAAGAAUAUUCGAUAAAAAUGCUAAUUAAUUUCUCGACCGAAUUGAGUCCGCUUGAUCAAAUCUAGAAAUCUUUCAGAAAUGGAUCUUUACUCAUCCGCAGGCAAUUCUGCUGUUGACGUUUGAGAUCUUGGGGAAAGAAUGUCGAGAAAGAACUACGUAUCACGAGCAUCAGUCUUCUUAUUCGACAGCGCAACAUUUUCAUCUGCAGUUAAAGGGAGAAUCUAUUUAUGCUAAAACUUCUGCUAAUUCAAAGUUUCUUGUCACUGUCAGCGAAUACUUGAUAUGUGGUAAAGUUACGUACUUGGGAAAAUAUAAAAAAAAAAGAAUUGACUUAGUUGUCCGUCGAUAUUACUGUAUCUCUUUCAACAGGUGUUUGGCUGAGCUACAGACAGCCUGUAAUUAUCCUGCUGCUACUUCAGCUGACAGCUAUUGUAUUAUCGAGUAACCGUUGACCACCAGUCACGUUAUCAAGCGGUGCAGAUAAGUAAUCUGGUAGCGCUAGUGGUGUUACCUGCAACUAGUCUUUUUCCCCCAUGACCAUAAAUCGAAAAUAUUGGAAAAUUUGAAAUGUUCUCAAUUUAAAUGUGAUCUCAACUGUUUUCGGUAGCGGCAAUGUAUAAACAAGAAUUAUUUGAUUCAUAAACGUCACCGUAUCGACACUAAUUUGAUCAUUUGGAUAUAUUUCACAAAACCUUGGCUUGAGCACGAAUUAUUGAAAUUUCUCAAGUUUCAAAAGGAAGGAAGGCAACAAAAACGCCAUGAGCGAAUCGCAAACCGUGCCAACGGAUACCAGGUCCAGGUACCCAUAAUAAUUUGCUCAUGCUUUUUUGUGCAUAUGUUGACUUUCGAAAUUUUGCUGUUCAAUGGGAUUUAAUUUGAAAUGAAUACCUGCUUUCACCAUUUUGCACAGAGCUCCAAGUUGCGUUCAUCAUCUUACUGCAAUUGACCCCAAAUUCGUUGUCGAAAUUUUAAAGUCCGUCAUAAAAGUAGAAGUACCCAGCAUAUGGUUUGGAAACUGAAGUUUGUGACAUGGUGAGGCCAAAUGUUUGUCUUCUCCGGAACUUCACGAUUCAUCCCCAAUCGAAAAAUUCAGCACGGUUUGUAAUUCCCGAACGCGAGGAGCAACACAGCACAUCACUAUUCGGUUUGAUGUUGAUUUCAGGUUUGGAUAAAAUGUCUGAAGACGUCAGUCGUGCAGUUAUACUGAAGAACGUAAGCGAUAUGUAGACAAUUCCAGUCGUGUAUGCACGAGUUCAGGAGCGUUUCGUUAUUACUAUAAGUAUCCCUCGGCAGGAUUGCGAUGGCCUACAGACAUGCUGUCAAGAGCGGUCCCUAUCCUGUGCUUCGGGUGGUAAUUGUAUUGAAAAAAGUACCCGUUGAUUUAUAGUGCCGAAUUGGCCUUAUUUCAGGCCGCGAAAUAGCGAUAGAAAGUUGAUUACUUACUGCAAAGCUUCCUACGAAAAUUCUUGCCAUUCAUCUGCGUUCCUAAUUGAUAUUAUUUACAAACCCGUUGAUGGUGCCGUAUUUUUGUUAAGGCAUAGAUUUUUGUUUUGUGUAUUACUCAGAAUAUUGUCAUUUUUUAAAUCUGCCCUUUUUUAGUUCGCUAGAAUAUUUACUCGGGUCGUGCUCUGUUCCGAGUUUGGACUCAUGAGGAAAAUUUGUGUGGUUCAUUUAUUUAUCGACAGGCAGCCUGCGCAUCAUCACUUGUGGAGUCCAGUGCGAGCGAGCCUUGCUAUCGGAUUUGGGACGACGAUAAUAUCUACUUCGCUCGAGAAAUUGCAGGAUUCGGAGUCUAGUUCUACCAACUGUAGAGCGGAGCGACAGCUGCAUCAAGCAACGCUUGCUGCAGUUUGUAAACACAGGCCUUCCCUCCAGCACAUGGUCAGCAGAUAACAGUUGUGAAAAUUCUCGGAACUGGAUGCUCGUCGUCCGUCAGAAUUAUCUUGAACUUAACCCUCUACCGCCUGACAUGAGUAACCGGAGCAAUAUUGUCACACAAGCUUAUCCACAAAGGA